rnacentral:rRNA from 1 species
GGAUCAUUACUGAGUUCUACAAAACUCCCAACCCUUUGUGAAUUAUACCUUAGUUGCCUCGGCGUCGAGCGAGUCACCUACCCGGGAGCUACCCUGGAGUCACCUACCCUGUAGAACCUACCCUGUAGGACCUACCCUGUAGACGGCUACCCUGGAGCUACCCUGUAGUUGCACUUUUGCGUCGCCGGUGGACUACCAAACUCUUAUAUGUAUAGUGUAUCUCUGAAUUCUUAACAAAAUUAGUUAAAACUUUCAACAACGGAUCUCUUGGUUCUGGCAUCGAUGAAGAACGCAGCGAAAUGCGAUAAGUAAUGUGAAUUGCAGAAUUCAGUGAAUCAUCGAAUCUUUGAACGCAUAUUGCGCCCAGUAGUAUUCUACUGGGCAUGCCUAUUCGAGCGUCAUUUCAACCCUUACGCCCUGUAGCGUAGUGUUAGGACUCUACUCUUUCGAGAGCAGUUCCCCAAAACCAGUGGCAGUGUUCGGUACACUCAUAGCGUAGUAAUUCUUCUCGCUUCUGCAGUGGCCCGUACGAUUCGCCGUAAAACCCCCCUAUUUUCUAAUGGUUGACCUCGGAUUAGGUAGGAAUACCCGCUGAACUUAAGCAUAUCAAUAAGCGGAGGAAAAGAAACCAACAGGGAUUGCCCUAGUAACGGCGAGUGAAGCGGCAACAGCUCAAAUUUGAAAUCUGGCCCUUGGGUCCGAAUUGUAAUUUGUAGAGGAUGCUUUUGGUGCGGUGCCUUCCGAGUUCCCUGGAACGGGACGCCAGAGAGGGUGAGAGCCCCGUACGGUUGGACACCUACCCUAUAUAUAGCUCCUUCGACGAGUCGAGUAGUUUGGGAAUGCUGCUCUAAAUGGGAGGUAAAUUUCUUCUAAAGCUAAAUACCGGCCAGAGACCGAUAGCGCACAAGUAGAGUGAUCGAAAGAUGAAAAGCACUUUGAAAAGAGGGUUAAAUAGCACGUGAAAUUGUUGAAAGGGAAGCGUUUGUGACCAGACUUUUUCCUAGUGGAUCAUCCGGUGUUCUCACCGGUGCACUUCACUGGGUUUAGGCCAGCAUCGGUUUCCGGAGGGGGACAAAAGCCUGGGGAAUGUGGCUCCUUCGGGAGUGUUAUAGCCCCUAGUAUAAUACCUCUCCUGGGGACCGAGGACCGCG